rnacentral:rRNA from 1 species
GACUAUGACCAUACCACCCUGAGCACGCCCGAUCUCAUCUGAUAAGCAGGGUUGGGCUUGGUUAGUACUUGGAUGGGAGAAAUGCUUUAAUUCACUCAUCACCAGAGGAAUAGAAAUUAAAACCA